AAAGUACUCCCUCCAUCCCAAAAUUCUUGUCUUAGAUUUGUCUAGACACAGAUGUAUUCAAGUCACAUUUUAGUAUUAGAUACAUCCGUAUCUAGACAAAUCUAAGACAAGAAAUUUGGGAUAGAGGGAGUAGUUG
rfam:Triticum aestivum genome assembly, contig: Triticum_aestivum_CS42_TGACv1_scaffold_031051_1BL